rnacentral:rRNA from 1 species
GACGAACGCUGGCGGCGUGCCUAAUACAUGCAAGUAGAACGCUGAAGGAGGAGCUUGCUCUUCUGGAUGAGUUGCGAACGGGUGAGUAACGCGUAGGUAACCUGCCUGGUAGCGGGGGAUAACUAUUGGAAACGAUAGCUAAUACCGCAUAUCAGUAGAUGUUGCAUGACAUUUGCUUAAAAGGUGCAAUUGCACCACUACCAGAUGGACCUGCGUUGUAUUAGCUAGUUGGUGGGGUAACGGCUCACCAAGGCGACGAUACAUAGCCGACCUGAGAGGGUGAUCGGCCACACUGGGACUGAGACACGGCCCAGACUCCUACGGGAGGCAGCAGUAGGGAAUCUUCGGCAAUGGACGGAAGUCUGACCGAGCAACGCCGCGUGAGUGAAGAAGGUUUUCGGAUCGUAAAGCUCUGUUGUAAGAGAAGAACGAGUGUGAGAGUGGAAAGUUCACACUGUGACGGUAUCUUACCAGAAAGGGACGGCUAACUACGUG